CUCGUUUGUCUUCCAAUCGGUAACGAAAGAACUGGUACAACACCUAGCGCAUGUCCAGCAGCGUCAGCGCCAUGGCCCCGUGGCCCGACAAAAAAACUCGACGCUUACAAACAGAUCCAGGAAGAUGGUCAGGGCGCUCCCUUUUCAGACGGCGGAUAUCCGGCAAACCGUCGUGCCUCUGAUCAGACGGUUGUUUCUACACCAUUCUCGGAGAUGCACGUACCGGCGAUCCAGGGCGCGUUCACCACAAGAUGUUUCAUCUUCAGCGACGCCGCGAGGAUGGACAGGAAGUAUGUCGU
rnacentral:lncRNA from 1 species